UACGGGGGGAGCAAGCGUUGUUCGGAUUUAUUGGGCGUAAAGAGCUCGUAGGCGGCUUGUCGCGUCGACCGUGAAAACUUGGGGCUCAACCCCAAGCCUGCGGUCGAUACGGGCAGGCUCGAGUUCGGUAGGGGAGACUGGAAUUCCUGGUGUAGCGGUGAAAUGCGCAGAUAUCAGGAGGAACACCGAUGGCGAAGGCAGGUCUCUGGGCCGAUACUGACGCUGAGGAGCGAAAGCGUGGGGAGCGAACAGG
rnacentral:rRNA from 1 species